rnacentral:pre_miRNA from 2 species
UAUUUAGCUUAAGUAUGUCCCAUGCAAUAUCUGGUACAUACUUAUACUAAAA